AUGGAAAGAGGAGUCACAGGCUACUUAAAGAAGUGGCUCGGAGUUCCACGAUGCCUUACCACCAUAGGCCUCUAUGGAGAUGGUGUCCUCAAGCUGCCCCUCACCAGUCUAACAGAGGAAUUCAAGUGUUCAAAAACCAGGCUCCAGAUGACACUGAAUGAAUCUCGAGACCCAGUGGUGAGCAACAACGCGCCGACCUUGGCAACUGGGCGCAAAUGGAGGCCAGGAAAAGCAGUCCAGGAGGCAACAGCAGCCCUCAGACAUGCUGACAUUGUGGGUCAUGUUCAGCAAGGGAGAGGAGGCCUUGGGCUAACUAGCCGUGCUGCUUGGAGUAAGGCCACUGCACCAGAGCGGAGGAAGAUGGUAGUGCAGGAAGUACGCCAUCAGGAGGAGGCUGCAAGGUGGGCCAAGGCAGUCUCUCUUUCCAAACAGGGACAGUGGACUCGAUGGGACAGUGUGGAGAAGAGGAAGAUAAGCUGGAAGGAUCUGUGGGCCAUGGAAGCGAGGCGGUUGAGCUUCUCCAUCAGAGCAACAUAUGACGUCCUUCCAACACCAGUUAAUCUUCACCAAUGGUAUGGUGAAGAUCCGGACUGUGCCCUCUGUUCCAUGCCAGCCAACCUCAGGCACAUUCUCACAGGGUGUAAAACAAGUCUCACUCAAGGACGCUACACUUGGCGUCACAACCAAGUCCUUAAAAACCUUGCGUCCGCCCUGGAGGACAAGCGAGCUGCCACCAACUCCCUACCACCCCCAUCAGCAUCACAGCCCUUACGGACAAACUUUGUCCGCGAAGGGGCUAAACCACCGAAGCGCGGCUCGACACCAUUAGAGCGAGACCAGCUGCGCUUGGCCCGCGACUGGAAAAUGCUAGCUGACAUUGGCCGGCAACUUGUGUUUCCUCCGGAGAUCGCAACCCCCACCCUAAGACCUGACAUGGUGCUCUGGUCCCGUUCACUCAAGAAGGUCUUCAUCAUUGAGCUCACAGUACCCUGGGAGGACUCAGUAGAUGAGGCUUAUGAGCGAAAGCAUCUGCGCUAUGCCGAUCUAGCUGCCGAAGCACGGCAUCAUGGCUGGAACACAGAAGUCCGACCAGUGGAGGUGGGCUGCAGAGGUUUUGUGGCAACAUCUACAACCAGACUGCUUAGAGACCUUGGAAUUAAGGGCCAGAGCCAGCGUUCGGCAAUCAAAGCUGUAUCGGAGGCGGCAGAAGGCAGCAGUCAGUGGCUCUGGAUGAAGAGGAAAGACCCCAGCUGGGCCCCGAAGUGA
rnacentral:lncRNA from 13 species